rnacentral:rRNA from 1 species
UACGUAGGGUGCGAGCGUUGUCCGGAAUUAUUGGGCGUAAAGAGCUCGUAGGCGGUUUGUUGCGUCGGCCGUGAAAACCUGCAGCUUAACUGUGGGCCUGCGGCCGAUACGGGCAGACUUGAGUUCGGUAGGGGAGACUGGAAUUCCUGGUGUAGCGGUGAAAUGCGCAGAUAUCAGGAGGAACACCAGUGGCGAAGGCGCCGCUCUGGGCCGUGACUGACGCUGAGGAGCGAAAGCGUGGGUAGCAAACAGG